GGUUUGAGCCACACUGAGCUCAGGGUUCGCCGGCGGGGCUGGGGGUGGCGAGGGGAAGGCGACACUCGCUCGGCGCCGCCUUCGUGCAGAGCGACCGGGAGGGUUUUGCAGCGGCCGCCGCCGCCGCGGCGGGAGGAGGGGUGGAGGUGGCUUCGGAGUUGUCCGGAGAAGGUGGGCAUUUCUCGGCUUUCCCACCCCCUCCCCUAGCCUCCCCCCUCCCCUGGUCUACCCCUCCCUCCUGCCCCGCACCCCACGUGAAGCGGAAUAUAAAGGGGGGUGUGAGGCUAGAGAGGAAAGUGAAUGGCGAAGGACUGAAGGGGUCCCCCCUUCGGGUCCCCGGCUGUUCUGUUCACCCUCGUUCAUCCUCCCUUCCCGAAGCUCGCCCUCGAAGGCAGAAGCGGCCGGCGCCUUCGGCUGAGAAGGAGGAGGAGGAGGAGGAAUCGCGCCGGGCAGAGCGUCAGGUCCCGUUUUCCUCCUCGGCGUCUUGAAUACAAAGAUUACGGUGCUGAAGGAAAUUGCACUCGCCUCCUCCGCCCCCCGGUACCCAGCACAAUGCACCAGCCGCCCGAGUCCACCGCCGCCGCGGCCGCGGCCUCGGCCGCUGCAGACAUUAGUGCUAGGAAGAUGGCGCACCCGGCAAUGUUCCCUCGAAGGGGCAGUGGUGGUGGCAGCGCGUCUGCUCUCAGUGCAGCAGGUACCGGCGUUGGUAGUAGUGCCCCAUCUUCCGAGGAUUUUCCGCCUCCGUCGCUGCUCCAGCCGCCACCUCCUGCAGCAUCUUCUCUGUCGGGACCACAGCCUCCGCCUCCACAAAGCCUGAACCUCCUUUCGCAGGCUCAGCUGCAGGCACAGCCUCUUGCGCCAGGCGGAACUCAAAUGAAAAAGAAAAGUGGCUUCCAGAUAACGAGCGUGACCCCGGCUCAGAUCUCCGCUAGCAUCAGCUCUAACAACAGCAUCGCAGAGGACACCGAAAGCUACGAUGAUCUGGAUGAAUCUCACACAGAAGAUCUGUCGUCUUCCGAGAUCCUUGAUGUGUCACUUUCCAGGGCUACCGACUUAGGGGAGCCUGAACGCAGCUCCUCAGAAGAAACUCUCAAUAACUUCCAGGAAGCCGAGACACCUGGGGCAGUCUCUCCCAACCAGCCCCCCCUUCCACAGCCUCAUUUGCCUCACCUUCCACAACAGAAUGUUGUAAUCAAUGGGAAUGCUCAUCCCCACUCCCUCCAUCCCCACCCUCACAUUCAUCAUGGGCACCACCUCCAUCACGGUCACCACCAUCCAUCCCAUGCCGGUGUGGCCAGUACACCCAUUCCGGGAGGGCCACCCGCAAGCCCAGUAUCCAGAAAACUGUCUAUAACUGGAAGCUCUGACAGUGUUAGGCCAGCUGCACCAACUUCUGCCGUAUCGUCGAGUGGCUCACCUGCAUCUGCAAUGACUAGUAUCCGUGCUCCGAGUUCAAGCGGCAGUAUAGGUAUAAAUUCUGUUACAGGCACUAAUGCGAUGAAAAAUGUUAACAUUACGGCUGUGGGCGUUUUUAAUCCUAACGUGACCAGCAGCAUGCUUGCUAAUGCUAAUGUAAGUGCGAGCAGCGUUCCCAGCGCUGCCGGUGUGAGCGUUGGGCCUGGAGUGAGCAGCGGUGUUAACGUGACUGUCUUGAGCGGCCUGGGCAACGGUACGAUUUUGUCCUCCGCUCUCAUUAACAGCACUGCCAGUGCAGCUGCAGGGAUGACUGCGGGAUCCGUUUCAAGUCAGCAGCCGCAACCAACAGCUAACACGUCCAGGUUCAGACUUGUGAAGUUAGAUUCGAGUUCUGAGCCCUUCAAGAAAGGUAGAUGGACUUGCACCGAGUUCUAUGAGAAAGAAAACGCUGUCCCCGCCGCCGAAGGGGUGGUGAUAAAUAAAGCGGUGGAAAGUGUAAAACAAAACCCGGCAGAAGUGACUCCUGAGAGGGAGAGCACCAGCGGGAGCUCAGUGAGCAGCAGUGUCAGCACGCUGAGCCACUACACGGAGAGUGUGGGAAGCGGAGAGGUGGGGGCCCCAGCUGCCGUGAUGCAGCAGCCGCCCGCUCUUGCGGGUGUCGCCCUCCCGCAGAUGGACUUCAGUAGCGCUGCUCCGGCGGGCAUUUCUGCCGUUAGUAUGCCCCAGAGUAUUUCUCAGUCACAGAUCUCGCAAGUGCAGUUGCAGUCCCAAGAACUGAGCUAUCAGCAGAAGCAGGGUCUUCAACCAGUACCUCUGCAAGCCGCUCUCGGUGCUGCAGCUGGUAUCCAGCCAUCACCUGUGAGCGUGGCGGGUGCAACUUCAGCUCUGGGUCAGCCGCCUUCCGUUUCCAGCCUGGCUCAGCCGCAACUGCCGUAUUCUCAGGCGGCCCCUCCGGCGCAAGCUCCCCUGCCAGGCACAUCGGCCCAGCAGUUACACUAUGGACAGCAGCCGCCAGCUCUCUCCACACCGGUGGCCCCAAGCCACGGCCCGUCAGGGACUCCGAAUCCUGCUUCCGAGUAUGUUCAGCAGCAGCCGAUUCUGCAGACGGCAGUGCCCUCUGCACAGCCCCCUUCUGCGGGGGUGGGAGCAGGAACCGCGGUGAUUCCCGUGGCUCAGCCACAGAGCAUCCAGCUGCCAGCGCAGCCCGCAGCAGUCCAGGCGCAGCCCGCAGGGGCGUCUGGCCAACCCGCUGGCCAGGCGCAGACGGCAGUAUCUGCUGUACCUCCUGGCAGUCAAAUUGCAAAUAUUGGUCAACAGACAAACCUACCUACGGCAGCGCAGCAGCCCUCUACCCAAGUCACACCUUCAGUCAUCCCGCAAGGUGCUCCUCCGUCUUCGCAGAUAGUUCCACCCGCUCAGGCUGCGAUUCUUCAUCAGGGAGUUCAAGCUAGUGCUUCCAGCCUUCCUCCACAGUUGGCCAGGGCACCCCAGAGCACCUUGGUAACUGCGCCUGCCCAGCCGCCAGUCGAGUCAGUAGCUCCAGGAGUUGUCUCGCAGCAGUUGCCUGCAGUUAGUCCUUUGCCCUCUGCUAGCAGUAUCUCUGUUACGAAUCAGGUUAGUUCACCUGGUCCUUCUGGAAUGCCUUCGGUCCCAACAAACUUGGUUCCAUCACAGAAUAUAGCACAAGCGCCUGCCACUCAAAACGGUAAUUUGGUUCCGAGUGUUAGUCAGCCUCCCUUGAUGGCAGCAUCUAAUAUAAAUUUGCCUUUGGCGCAGCAGAUACCACUAAGUUUUACUCAGUUCUCUGCACAAUCAUUAGCUCAGGCAAUUGGAAGCCAAAUUGAAGUUGCCAGGCGCCCAGCGGAACCCUCCUUAGUUGGCUUACCUCAGACUCUCAGUGGUGACAGUGGGGGAAUGUCGGCAGUUUCAGAUGGGAGUGGCAGCAGCCUAGGAGCCUCGGCUUCUCUUUUCCCGUUGAAGGUGCUACCGCUGACGACACCCCUGGUGGAUGGCGAGGAUGAGAGCUCUCUAUUUCAGUGCUUCUCUCCUACCAGAGGUGCAAGGAGUGAUCCUAGAACCACAGAUACAGCCAAGACCACGGAGAGCUUUUGACGUCAGGGGUCCAUUUUCUCCACUGAACCCUUGGAGGCAGAAUAUCCAGCUUCUGGAGAGAGUUGGGAAAGGAUAAUAAACAAAUUUCUUUCAACUGGUAAACAUCAUACUUCAGCAAAAGGAACUCUUCUAGCAGAGCCUUCAUGGAUGAUAUCUGUCACACAUGCAGCAGCUGCAGUUUGGAAGGCAGUGAACGGAGCCAUGCAUUAUGUCUAGAAGACACAAGGAUGAGAGAGCCACCUGAUCUUGUCAUUGAUAAACUUUAAGAUUUACUCUGGUGUACUCUUGGUCUGGAAACGGAAAGGCUCAAAUAAUGACAUAAUUUUUUCAGAUUGGAAUUUUACAUGGCCAUGAAAAUAAUUCCUUUUUAUUCAGAAGACUGAAAUAGAGGAAGCAUGAGAGACACCUUUCUUUAAAAAGCAGCUCUCUGUAUCUGUUUCACUUAAAAGAUUUGUGGGAUUGAAAAUCACCUUAAUGAAGCAGGCAAACUUUUUAUUUUUUAGUAGUCUGGGAGAUCCAAAAAACUUAAUGAAACUGUCUUUUGUUGCCUGACACUGAAAGGAACUAGGAAAUAUAAAGGGUGAACUUCUUAAUUAUUCCCAAAUUACUUUUAAUGUUAGGAUGCACUUUUUAAACUUUUUCUAGUCUUGAGCCUUAUUCUUAUUUGUCAAAUCAACAAAGAUUCCAGUAUAGGAGUAGAGACGUCUUUGAGUUCAGUCUUCUAAAGUAGUAAAUACCUGUUAAACUUGAGGUAUUGUUCUGCAUUGCAGGCAUUCUAAAGUUGAAUGAUACUGAAAAAAAGAGGUAUUUUAUAGAGCAAAAGCAAUUAGUAGUAGUAGGAUAAGCUUCUAUGUGUGAAUAAGUGUUGCAAGAUAGUUAUCCAAACUGUCGAUAAAUUGAUGGCAGUAGUGAUCAAAAUGUUUUAUUUCUCUUUUUGGUAUCUAUUUAACUGGUCAGUCAAAAGCUGUUAAAGAAGUUUUUAAAAGUUAUGCAAUGCUGCCAGUUUGUUUUAUUUGGUAUAAAUUUUAAGAAUAGAAAUUCUAGAGAUAAUAAUAUGGAAGCAUCUAAAUGUCUUAGGAAAUUUAAAGGUUUUGGAAACCACAUUUGCUAGAUUAUAACCUGGCCUUUAGUCUUUCUCCGCUAUUUGUGAGACCUGUUUUCCCCUCAUUUAUUAUAAAUAAACUUUUGUAUGUACAGUACUUAAAAGUAAGUUUAAAAGAUCAAUUUGAGCUAAAACUUCCCUAGAGAGCUCUGAAUUCCCAUAAACAAUUACAGCUUUUUACUCUUGAUUUGUUUUUGUUAAAAGUUAAUAAGAUAGUUGUUACAAACACAUAUAAAUGAAAAAACAACUACUCACUCAACAUUUUAGAAAGAACUUAGGGAACUGAAAGUGAGAUUUGCUUGGAAAUUUAGUUGAACUCUUUGAACCACAGUACAAAUGAGCUUAUGGCCUGUGAGGUUAUUAGCCUUUUGUUUCAGUUUUGAAGAAGUGAUUUAAACUCUUAAUCCCAUUAAUCUCAUGCUUUGAUUAAAUUUUAGCUUUGUUCCUUAAAGUGUGCAAAAGAAA